UACGAAGGGGGCUAGCGUUGCUCGGAAUCACUGGGCGUAAAGCGCGCGUAGGCGGAUCGUUAAGUCGGGGGUGAAAUCCUGGAGCUCAACUCCAGAACUGCCUUUGAUACUGGCGAUCUUGAGUCCGGGGAGAGGUGAGUGGAACUCCGAGUGUAGAGGUGAAAUUCGUAGAUAUCGGGAGGAACACCAGUGGCGAAGGCGGCUCUCUGGACAGGUACUGGACGCUGAGACGCGAAAGCGUGGGUAGCAAACAGG
rnacentral:rRNA from 1 species